AGAGUUUGAUCAUGGCUCAGGAUGAACGCUGGCGGCGUGCCUAAUACAUGCAAGUCGAACGCUUUGUCUUUAAUUGAUAUGAAGAGCUUGCUCUGAUUUGAUUUUAUCUGACGAAGAGUGGCGAACGGGUGAGUAACACGUGGGUAACCUACCUCUUAGCAGGGGAUAACAUUUGGAAACAAGUGCUAAUACCGUAUAAUACUAACAACCGCAUGGUUGUUAAUUGAAAGAUGGUUCUGCUAUCACUAAGAGAUGGACCCGCGGUGCAUUAGCUAGUUGGUAAGGUAAUGGCUUACCAAGGCGAUGAUGCGUAGCCGAGUUGAGAGACUGAUCGGCCACAAUGGGACUGAGACACGGCCCAUACUCCUACGGGAGGCAGCAGUAGGGAAUCUUCCACAAUGGGCGCAAGCCUGAUGGAGCAACGCCGCGUGUGUGAUGAAGGGUUUCGGCUCGUAAAACACUGUUAUAAGAGAAGAACGACACUGAGAGUAACUGUUCAGUGUGUGACGGUAUCUUAUCAGAAAGGAACGGCUAAAUACGUGCCAGCAGCCGCGGUAAUACGUAUGUUCCAAGCGUUAUCCGGAUUUAUUGGGCGUAAAGCGAGCGCAGACGGUUAUUUAAGUCUGAAGUGAAAGCCCUCAGCUCAACUGAGGAAGGGCUUUGGAAACUGGAUAACUUGAGUGCAGUAGAGGAAAGUGGAACUCCAUGAGUAGCGGUGAAAUGCGUAGAUAUAUGGAAGAACACCGGUGGCGAAAGCGGCUUUCUGGACUGUAACUGACGUUGAGGCUCGAAAGUGUGGGUAGCAAACAGGAUUAGAUACCCUGGUAGUCC
rnacentral:rRNA from 1 species